rnacentral:rRNA from 1 species
UACGGGGGGGCAAGCGUUGUUCGGAAUUACUGGGCGUAAAGGGUUCGUAGGUGGCCAACUCAGUCAGGCGUGAAAUCCCUCAGCUCAACUGGGGAACUGCGUCUGAUACUAGAUGGCUCGAGUGCAGGAGGAGGAACGCGGAAUUCCCGGUGUAGCGGUGAAAUGCGUAGAGAUCGGGAGGAACACCGAUGGCGAAGGCCAAUCCCCUGGGCCUGCACUGACGCUCAUGCACGAAAGCGUGGGGAGCAAACAGG